rnacentral:miRNA from 1 species
UGUGUGUGUGUGUGUGUGUGUGUGUGUGUGUGUGUAUAUAUAUAUACACACAUAUAUACACAUACACAUAUAUACACA